UAGCUGGGACUAAAGGCGUACACCACCACACUCAGCUAGUUUUCUACAAAUUUUAAUAUUAUUUUAGUCUCACCACAGAAGUAAUAAUAGAAGUAGAAAAAAUAAUGUCUCCUAAAAACUACAUAACAAAAUAAUAAGUGUCCAAGAAAAGGUAUAUGCUAUGUGCUGCACAGUUUUGCCAAUAAAAAGUACCAGGGAGAUUCCAUGAUAACUACAAGUAAUUUGAUUCACUGAAGAUUCAUAAAGGCAUAAAUAUGAAAGUAACACUAGUAUGAUUUAAAAGCCAAUAUUAAUAUUUAUCCAAAUAAACCUUAACCAAAUUUUAUAUUUCCUUUAUUGGGGAAAGCAUUUUCUAAUGUGAUUUUCCUGUCACUAUGUUUCCAGUUCAUUUUCUUUCAGCCCCCACCCUGUCACAGUACUUAAUCAAUCCUUUGUUAAUGAGGUUAAACAAUUUUUAAAAAUUAACUAGCCAGGUCUAUGCUUCUCUCUGACCAACCUUGUAUUACCAACAUUAAAAAAGGUAGAUAAACCACUGCUAAAUUUUAAAAGUAAAUAAUAUGCAAAACUUGACUGAGUAAGAAAAUUAAUUUUACAAGAGGCCAAUUUACCUCGGUGGUAACAGUCAAGUUGUCAUCAUCUGGCUUAGGGCAUGAAUCAACACACAGUUCGCAAGUUGAUUUCUUUACAAAGUUUUUAACUGCCAGGUCAUAUUCAGCUUCUCCUUU